GGAAUUUUGUUAGGUUAGAGUAGUCUAGAAAAAUUGAAAUUUGAUAAUGUGGUUGUAAUAUUGUCAGUAAUUGUGCAAUUACAUAAUUUCGAAAACGAAAUGUGUUUAAUUAUGCCUUAAAUACUUUAAAAGAUGUUAAUCACAUUAACGUUCAAAGAUGCCUCAUUCUCAGGUCUAAUUGUAAUAACUUCAAUCACCAUCUCGAUGUUUUCAGACGCAAGGAACUUUUGGAAAGCAUUUUACACUGGAAAAGUCAGUGAUCGCGCUAACGAGAAAUCAUAUCGCAUUACAUAAUAAUGUUAACAGAGGGAGAGAUGAGCCGAAUCAUCGACCUCGACAUCGAGAAGCAAACCACCGGAAGACCAGAAGGUAAACCUCCAUAUAGAAGAGUCUAAUAAUCGACGUCGACAUCAAGAAGCGAACCACUAGAACCAUUAAUUUCGAUUCCAUAGAAUCCAUCAAAACAAUGAUAUGUAGUACCCAAAAAAACUCCUGUUCUUAGGUGACCAGCUAUACUGUAUAACUGAUAUUUUCCAAAAAAAUAUUGAUUCACUUUGUAGUUUUUAAAAAUUUUAAAUCAUCUAAAAGUAUUCAAAUACUUUAGAUCGCUUUGAAACGAAUUAAAUGUAUUAAAAAAUUUCCUAAAAGAUUCAAAAAUUGUGAAUUAUCGAUGAAAAAAAAAUCGAUAUCAAAUGAUUUUAAAGAGGAAAGGUAUUUGAAUAAUUUGGAAAGUUUAUUGAGAAUCUCGGCUCUGGUAAGCUACAGGAACGGAUUAAAUACUACAGAUGUCUUAAACAAUAGUAUAGAUACAAAAGGUAAUGGCUAAAAAGCAAACCGUAUAUUUAAUGACAAUAGAAAUGAGAUGUUUGUGAAUCCCAUGGAUAGGUUUCGAUUAUUCUACAUCUGGACAUAACCAAUUUAAAUGACCUGAGAAGCGGUGGCGUUUCAAGAAAAAAUAAAUCAAUGAUAUAUCUGUAGUAUUUAAUCUUGGCUCCUGGGUAGAUAACUGUUAUUAUUACAAAUUAUUUAGCCCCGAUUAUGAAAGGUAGAGGUAACGUGGACUCUAUUUGUGCGUUUGUGAAACUUCAAGAUGGCGUGUGGAGGUUAGACGCGCCAUUUUCAAAGCAUUCCUUUUUUAAAUCAACUUCGAACUGCUUCCAAUAACAGGGAGUUAUAUUUACCCCUUAACUCGCUUUUAUAAAAAAUAAUAAACGAACCUAUUUACAGUUGGCCUUGGCAUUGUUGAGGAUAUGUAGUUUGCAGAUUUAUCUUGUGGUACAGGUCGUCUUCUAUCAAGUGUUUGAUAUUUGUAGUCGGUGAAGUCGCUGUCGUAUGCUCCCGGCUCCGGUUCGGAAAGGUAACCAGAAGUAUAAGGGUAUUGUGCUAGCGAAAAAUGAAAUAAAAACGGAAUAUUGUUAAUUGUUUACAGAAUAUUAAUUAUUAGUAUUGUGCAUUAAGCAUUUUUAAGCAGUUAUUAUACGCUUCUCCAAUUAAAGAAAGAAGGAACGCGGAGCACGACCUUUAUCUACCUACUCAAAGUUCACAAUUAGUUAAAGGCUCAAUAUUUUACAAUGUAAAACAAUGCACAAUCACUUGCCAAUUGAAAUCAAACCGAUAUCAUCUUUUCCCGUAUUCCGCAAUAAUUUUAGGGCGGAUGUGGUCACAAGAUGCGGUAUAAUCAUAAAGAAGAUGUGUUAAUUGUGGAAAAUUAAUAGAUUAUUGGAGAAAAAGUUUGUAAAGAUAUCUAUAAUUGUUUUACUUAUAUUUGACGAUCUUCCAACGCUCUGAUUUUCUCGGUUUUAUUUUUGUACAAUUUCUACUUCAAUUAGGUGUUUCUGGAAACCUUCCCUAUCGAUAAGGGUGUUGUGUGAAGUACAAAUACAUUUAAUACUUUUGUCUACCACAAGUAUGGAAAAUGUCUACCACAAAAUGGAAAAACAAAAAUUUCAGUACUUGAUUUAUAAAUAAUCAGAUUCACUACAAUUGUACUACUUAAUGGAAUAAUUGUUUAGUCAUAAUAUGAAAAGAAAACUAUUCUGGAUGAAACGGAUGUGUGAAAAACUAAUGUAGAAAUAGAAAAUAUUUAUAAUGAUAUAAUUAUAUUACGGGAAAUAAUAAUAUUUACUUUAGAAAAAUAGGCUCACCUUAAAAACUUUACUGAUAAUUCCAAUGUUAUUUUUAAUGUCAUUCACCAUAACAAAAACAUUCAAUGAUUGCAUUGUUUAUAAAUAAACUAUAUAUAUGUUAAAACUGAAUAAUGGCAUUACACAAUAGUGUGAUAACAAGCUUUACUUUAAAUACAUUUUUAGUAAAAAGGUCAAUGUUUAUCUAAUCAUUUUUAAUUAUACAAAAAAAACGUAAUAUACAAUAUUUUCUUCUAAGAUAAUAAA